rnacentral:pre_miRNA from 1 species
AGCAGCCAUUGCUGGGUCAUAUGGUCUCUGUGUGUUUAGUUUUGGAGUUACCUGCCAAACUGUCUUCCAAAGGGGCAGAGCCAUUUUGCACUUCUCCCAGCAAU